rnacentral:rRNA from 1 species
UACAGGGGGGCAAGCGUUGUUCGGAAUUACUGGGCGUAAAGGGCUCGUAGGCGGCCAACUAAGUCAUACGUGAAAUCCCUCGGCUUAACCGGGGAACUGCGUCUGAUACUGGAUGGCUUGAGUUCGGGAGAGGGAUGCGGAAUUCCAGGUGUAGCGGUGAAAUGCGUAGAUAUCUGGAGGAACACCGGUGGCGAAGGCGGCAUCCUGGACCGAUACUGACGCUGAGGAGCGAAAGCGUGGGAGCA